AUGUUAGCGGCGGACGGGUGAGUAACACGUGGGUAACCUGCCUGUAAGACUGGGAUAACUCCGGGAAACCGGGGCUAAUACCGGAUGGUUGUUUGAACCGCAUGGUUCAAACAUAAAAGGUGGCUUCGGCUACCACUUACAGAUGGACCCGCGGCGCAUUAGCUAGUUGGUGAGGUAACGGCUCACCAAGGCAACGAUGCGUAGCCGACCUGAGAGGGUGAUCGGCCACACUGGGACUGAGACACGGCCCAGACUCCUACGGGAGGCAGCAGUAGGGAAUCUUCCGCAAUGGACGAAAGUCUGACGGAGCAACGCCGCGUGAGUGAUGAAGGUUUUCGGAUCGUAAAGCUCUGUUGUUAGGGAAGAACAAGUACCGUUCGAAUAGGGCGGUACCUUGACGG
rnacentral:rRNA from 1 species